UCCGGUUUUGUGCAUCAACAAAUAUCAAUGUCUGAAUCUUGUCUAGUUUGAAGAUAGAAGAAAACUUAUUCUUCCAUCCUACCAAAACUGAAUGUAGAGACAAAAUUUAAUAAGUUAUCUAAUUUAAUAUACAAGACACAAAACGAAACAAGACCUUAUAUAUCUAGGUUAAUUAUGGCUUUAAUCUAAUUAUUGUAAGCAUUGCUCGUUAUUAUUUUACAAAUUAUGCAGAAAAUUAAUUAGCUAGGUUCUGUUUGGUAUGCCAUAGAAAGUGUAGAAACACACGGUUUCUAAUCACCUAUCCCUUGGUUGGAACUGCAUCUUUAUCCAUGACUCAUGGCGAGCCAUGCCGAUAUAGUAGUUCUGGCUUCAGCUACCUUAUGUCUAUGGCAUCGCAAUCUUGACUUUUGAUGCCCAUGAUAGACCGUGUUUAUCAUAUGCUGGGACACACAGACACUGAUAACCACAAUAAUAGUAGACUAGUAGCAGCGAAUUGUAGGGCAGUCCGAAAAUCCUGCACAACAAAAACAAAAUGCAAUCAAUCUUCACUUCUCAUAUUUUCUAAAUUUUAGUCAAGACCGAUACUAGCACAACUCUUUAUAUUUGUCAAGUCUUUGAGUCUUAAAUUACUUACAGUUUAGUUUCAAAACCGUAGUUCAUCUAAAGUGCGAAUUCUCAUAUUAAUGGAAACAUGAGUACUGUUAGAUUGACGAGUUUAUAUUUCUUUACUAGGUAUAGGGUUUUUUUUUUUUUUCUUCUUGUUUUUGUAAUCACAGUCUAUUGAUUUAUUCCCGUUUAAAUGAUUAGUAACACUAAAGAUAUACCAAUCAAUCUAUUGGAUUCUCCAAAUCUGACUCUAUCACUCUGCAGAUUAAUAACAUAUGUGGGACCGCAGGUCCCAUUGACACAGGUAAAUAGUAUUGUUGCUACUUGCUUGGUUUGAUGAUGACGACGACGAUUCUGUUUGGGAUAUGAUGUUGGACAUAUGAAGCCCGGAAAGUGUGAGAAAAGAGAAUGGGAGCAAGAUGAUUGGAGAAGGCAAAGGCCAUGAUUGAACACACGGAGAGUGUGUUUUAAGCCAUCCCCUCCCCCUUGCGGCAUUGUCCCAUGGUCAACAAUCCUAGCUUGUCCUUACGCAAGCAUAUCAAUUUAUAUUUUUACAGUCGAAUAAUAUAAGUUAUCUUUAACUUUUGAAAAAACUAAGAGAUAUAGGAGAAAUAAAGUUCAUCUUAUUUGGUAUUACUCUGGCACUAGUUAUGAGAGUCGUCAAUCUCUUCCUAAAUUUUAUGUUGCCAAAAAAAAGUUUCAUCAUUAUUUCGUUCACACUCAACAUCUUAACAGAAUUGAAUUUUUCCUAGCUAAGGGAAAUGAGAAUAGGACUAUGGUCAAAGAAUCGUUGGCAACUGUCGAUUGAAAUCAACAAGAACAAUAGUAUUUCGUAAUUCACGACACUCGAGAGGAUUUUUUAUUUUUCUACAAUUGUAACCUUUUUAGAUAUGGGUAAGGACACCGUUUGCUACACUCACGUCUCCCAAGAAAGGUUUGUAAUCUAAGCAAGGUCAAAAUUUGAGGAUUUGAUAAUGCUGGCUGUUGAUGUUUACGGAACUGACCCCAAGGUUGAAAUGGACAAGGAAAUUAUCAAUAAGAUCAUCAUCGAGAAAUUUUUCUAAGGGUCCACACGGAUUUCCUUAGUGGAAACAACAAGCCCGAGGAAGUUGAUUCGGUCUACCCUACAGAUACCUACUAACUCCGCCUACAACUGGUGUUUCCUUAACUUUCUCCAACACGACUUUGGAUGUCAUAAGCGAUUUCCCAACAGAUAUGCCUCUGCCCACCAUUCCUAAGGAACAUAUGUUGCAGAAUAGCGAUCCGAUAUUGAAAGUCAUUCAUCAAAUAAUUACGACAAACUUGAGGCACAAUCCCGACACGAAUUUCUUAUACUUCAAAUAGGAUGUGACUAUUCAGGCUGAAUGAGGAUUGCACAACUGUGCCGAAGGACAUCAGUAAACAGAAGCCAUGACAUCCAAAUGAUAUCAAGGCCAACACACUACUAGAGUAAGAGAAGAUCCUAGGUAUGCUCUGAACAAACCAUUCUCUGAUACCAAACUAACACGCCCCAAUCCCAAUAUCCCCAUAUACCAGGGUAGGCACGUGCUGGUCGACACCCAAGGGUGACGAAGCCAUUUUAAAUAUGCAAACAAAUAAAGAAUAUGCAAUUAGAACGAAAUAUGCCAUUGUACGAACAUGUUCAGAGCAUACAACGACUAAGAAUAAUAUGGAAGAAUUAGUAAGAAAAGAUACGAACAAGGAAAUGAUACCUAUACUAAGAAGACUCGAGGAUACCUAUGUUGUAGAGUCAUGACACCGGGAACAAAUGUCUCGAUUCUAACUCCUGAGGUGGCGCAAAAACCAAAAGGUGAGUGGACAAACUUUUAUAAUAAUACUAAUAAGAAGAAAACAUUUUAUUUCUGAACAUAAUAAGCCCCUGUUUUGAAAACACAUAUAAUACUACAUAAUAGAUUUUCUGAAAACCCUAGCAUGCCAUGAAAAACCAUUUAAUAAGGAAGUGCGUAAAAUCUAGUGCUCAAUUAUAGAAAUAUCAUUGCCCGAAGGCAAUUUUGUAAAACAUCUAGAAAUCACGUCAGUGAGGUACUCACUAGGGGUAUCAUAGUCGCCCAAAUGUAAUACAUGUCCAUCACCUGAAGGUGAAGCUGAAUAACAUGUCCAUCACCCGAAGGUGAAGCUGAAUAACCUGUCCAUCACCCGAAGGUGAAGCUGAAUAAAAUAGCAUAACAUACACAUCAACACUAACCGUGGCUAGUGAAGCUGUCCGACACUGCUUUCGGCAGUUAAGCUGGGGGUAUAUCAUAAACAUCAUCAAUUGUGUCAUAUGGCGAUAGACGUCAUACCCGUGUUGUGUGUAUGUGCCAUAUGAUAACCCACUAGAUAAGUACCAAAAACAUAUCUCAAAACUCGUAUUAAAAUACCGGAGUUCAAAAGCUCAAAGUCACAUCUCAUAAAUCCAUGAUAAAUCAUAUUCAUGAAUCCAUAAAAUAAAUCAUAUUCGCAAUUUCGUAAUAUAAAUAGUAUUCGAAAUCCAUAGAAAUCCAUGUAUGCAAAUCCAAUAAUUUGUAUCCAUUCGUAAAACGUAAUCUCUAUAAAUUAUUAAUAUUUUGUAAACCCUAAAUUAUAGAAAUCCAUAAAUCAUAUUAUAAAACAUACUUAAAUCAUGAAACAUGAGAUGCAUGCUAGGGUAAUGUUUAUAAAAACAUAUAAGUUAAGAAGGGGUCCACUCACAAAUAUUUUAUUGCCCGAGAGCUGCUUGAACUAGCGAGGAGGGUGCCACCUCCCACCGAAGCACCUAAACACAUAUAGAGGCCAUUUAAAAAACUAUACUAAAACGUCAGAAUUUUGGAAAACGGGUGACGAAUUAUGUCACGUCCCGGAUCCGGGGUUGGAAAAAAAAUUAACCCCGCACCCAGCGCACGAGUAAAAGUAAAAUAAAUAAAAGGAAAUUGACACGGGUUGGAAAAAUAAACUCCACUUUUUAAAUAUAACUCCAAAUUCCUCACAGGGUGUACAAAAGUAAUAAAUUAAAAUCCUUAAACUUCUCCUCAAUCACAACCUCAGCUCUUUUAACACAUGUCUUGCCAAAUAACAUCUGUAAAAUAAUAGGUGAGGGGUGAGCAACAACCACCAUCGCUCAAUGAGUAGAAUAUGUAAUAUGUCAAUCAAGCAAUGCAUGUUUACACACACUAGAAAAUACAAUAAUAAUAUCAAAGGUUUAACCACGUAAUUUCAUAUCACAUCAUCCUUUUACGUGUUCAUUACAUCCUUCAUAAAUUGUAACUCACCACGUGACCUCUACUGGCCUUUUUGCCCUAAUGUCCCCGUGUGCAGUUUACAUUUAUCCCUUGGAUUAAUGCAACACUAAAGUUCUCAUACUCCAUGAACAUAUCCAAAUAAUCCACAUAUCACCAUAUUAAUAAUUCCAAAAGCAUUUCAACAAAUCCAACAUGCUUGACUUAAAAUAGAUAGAGAUUUAUAAAUAGAUAAAACCCACUAUAAUUCAUGGUUUUCAUUUAUCAGAAAAUAAGAAUACUUUAAAACACAUUACAUAAACCACUCACCUUGAUAAUCCAAGCUUUGGCAAGACAACCCAACUAACAUCUCUACAAACCUCAAACUCUCUAACCCUAAACUCUCUUGCUUCUCUCUACGUUGAACCUUCGAUGCAUGCUCUGCAUGUUUCCUUGAUAUGCGAAAACAAUGGAGCAUGGCCUUCUAUUUAUAGGUUAGGGAAGCCGGCAACAACUUGGUUGGAAUUGGAUGGUUUUUGGGGUCUCAAAGGCA
rnacentral:lncRNA from 1 species